rnacentral:ncRNA from 1 species
UAUAUUUUGUAGCAAGGUUAACCGUAUAGGGGAGCCGUAGGGAAACCGAGUCUUAACUGGGCGAUUAGUUGCAAGGUAUAGACCCGAAACCCGGUGAUCUAGCCAUGGGCAGGUUGAAGGUUGGGUAACACUAACUGGAGGACCGAACCGACUAAUGUUGAAAAAUUAGCGGAUGACUUGUGGCUGGGGGUGAAAGGCCAAUCAAACCGGGAGAUAGCUGG